rnacentral:rRNA from 1 species
UACAGAGGGGGCGGGCGUUAUUCGGAAUUAUUGGGCGUAAAGGGCGCGUAGGCGGUCUUUUAAGUGAGAUGUGCAAUCCCCGAGCUUAACUUGGGAACUGCAUCUCAGACUGGGAGGCUGGAGUACUGGAGAGGGUGGUAGAAUUCCACGUGUAGCGGUGAAAUGCGUAGAGAUGUGGAGGAAUACCAGUGGCGAAGGCGGCCACCUGGACAGUUACUGACGCUGAGGCGCGAAAGUGUGGGUAG